GGGUAAUGGGGGUGCUUGGGUGGUGAGUACUUGGGUGGUGUUGGAGAGGGUGGUGACUUGGGAGGGUAGUGAGGAUGCUUGGGUGGUGAGUACACUGGUGGUGUUGGUGAGGGUGGUGACUUGGGAGGGUAAUGAGGGUGCUUGGGUGGUGAGUAGACCGGUGUCUUAGGUGGUGACUUGGGGGGGUAGUAGGGGUGGUGAGGUGGUGAGUAGACUGGCGUUGGUGGUGGAGGAGACUUGUAGUGGUAUGGCUUCUUUGGUGGUGGUGGUGAGUGAUGUGGGUGGUAGGGCUUCUUGUGUGGUGGCGGGGGUGGUGGAGACUUGUAGUGGUAAGGCUUCUUCGGUGGUGGUGGAGGUGGUGGAGACUUGUAGUGGUAUGGCUUCUUUGGUGGUGGUGGUGAGUGGUGUGGAUGGUAGGGCUUCUUGUGUGGUGGGGGUGGUGGAGGAGACUUGUAAUGGUAAGGGACCUUCGGUGGUGGCGGUGAUGGAGGAGGAGGAGACUUGUAGUGGUAAGGCACCUUAGGUGGUGGUGGUGAUGGAGGAGGAGGAGACUUGUAGUGGUAUGGCACCUUUGGUGGUGGUGGUGACGGAGGUGGUGGAGAUUUGUAGUGGUAGACAGGUGUCUUUGGUGGCGGGUACACCGGAGGCUUGGGAGGUGACUUGGGAGGGUAAUGUGGGUGCUUAGGAGGAGAGUACACCGGAGGCUUAG
rnacentral:lncRNA from 1 species